AGGGGCGUCGCUUAGAUUCUAGAGCGCUCGCUUAGCAAGCGAAAGGUACGGGGAUCGAUACCCCGCACCUCCA